rnacentral:lncRNA from 1 species
UGAUAUGCUAAAUGAGAACUCUAGAAAUGCUGUCUUGUUUCUUUGCUGUGUUGUAUCAUAUCUACAUGCCGGCACUUCUGUAGAUAAAUUUACAUCGAAGAGGCUUUCAACACUAAGUAUAAACUUUUCGAAGUCAUGAUUUUUCUCAAGUCUCCUAAAAUGUCAGCUAGAAUGCCCAAAAAGAACAUCAAAUUGUAAGUUUUUUCUUCUGUUUCUUUUAUUAUUUUCGUUAAAUGUUUGUAGUAUUUUAACGAUGGUCUUGUUAUAUCAUUUUUGUGUAAGAGAACAUCUGGCAGGAAUCUCCUUGUCUGGGACCAAAAUUACAGACUGGGGACAUAUGAUUUCAAAAUCUGUGUUUAUUUUGGUUUAAGAGAUGGCUAUUGUUCUUGUGGCAUAUCUGGAACAAUGUUAUCUGUGUGUAAACUUUCAUUGGACAUGAUCAUGAGUUGGCAAGCCAUAAAAAUUUAAAAACUAAUAUUUAAAAGGAAGAAAAAAAAUGACUGGCAAAAUUUUCUGGUUGCAUAUGGUUCAACCAUUUCCUCCGACCAUCCAUGUUAUACUUGAAGAAGUUGAAAUUUUAGGUGGCACAAGAUGCUGAAAGGACUCUAAUGAACAAGAAGAAAUCUGUACUAUAUAUAUUCGGCUUGUAGCCUUGUUGCUUACUACAUCUGUUCAUGUUUAAAUUGUUUCUCCUCGUUGUCUGCAAGCAUAAUCAUCAUUGGUUUAUAUGGUCUGGUUGUACCAAGGACGGCUGGUAUGUCUUCAGAUAUUGGAACUUUUGAUACAGAUUCUGCUAUUUUAUCAUCAGUCCUUCACAUAACCUGCAUUUUGUCGAAUCCGGGGAGAUGGGAAAGUCUGCUAAUGGAAAAGUACUCCACUACAAGGGAACACCAUUUCAUCAUAUUAUACCUUGAUUUAUGAUCCAAGGAGGGGAUAUUGUCUCUAGCAAUGGUAGAGGAAACCAGCCAACAUAUGGUGGCGCCUUUCGUGAUGAGAAUUUCAAGUUGAAGCAUUCACAUGCAGGUUUGCAAUGAUCUUUCGCGCACUCAUUUCUUCUUUCUGGGGCGACAGCAAAUUCCCUCUAUCCUCCAUGUACUUUUGGCUACUGAUGAGUGAAUUUCACUCAUUGAUUUAAUGUCUCUUAAGCUUGAAAUAUUUGGUUGUUUUCGAGAAAUUUAGAACGUUUUGAUGCGGGUAUUAGUGUUGUUUUAUAGGCGAACCAAUUUGGUGAAAUGGUGAGUUUGAAAGGUGGAAAAGAGUCAAAUUUACAUAGAGGUGAAUGGACAAAAAGAAGCAUCGAGAUGCAUGUGAAAGACGAUGGAAGAAAGAAGGAAGAAAACAAACUAAAAAAACUUGCCACAGUGCCUAGGCGCCACAAAGGGAGUAGAAACUCAACGCCUAGGCGCUGCACGCGCUGAAACAAGACAGAAACGCAACGCCUAGGCACCACUUUUGUAGCGCCCAGGCGCUGCAUGCCGAGAAAGGAAAAACGCUAUUUUUCCAAAUAUUUUCGACCUAGCCCAAUUCCAACUCGCAAUGCAAAUUAAGGGGAAUAUAAAUACAUAUUUACAGACCUAAGAAAGGGGGUUGGACGGCUGAAGAAGGGAGGCAAAGAGAUGCACUAAUUGAGAGAAGAAUCACCGGAUUUGGAGAAGGAAUCAAGCUGCAAACUGAGUUUUUCUUAUCUUUCUCUUCUUCAUGCGAUUUAAUUUGUAUUUUAUUGUGUUCUUCUUCUCAAUCAUGAACUAAGUUAUUAAAUUUAGGGUUUGAUGUAACCUAUUUGAGACAUGACUCAAUUUCUUUAUAAUAUUUCCAUUUAAUUUUCC